GAUGAACGCUGGCGGCGUGCCUAAUACAUGCAAGUCGAGCGAACAGACGAGGAGCUUGCUCCUCUGACGUUAGCGGCGGACGGGUGAGUAACACGUGGAUAACCUACCUAUAAGACUGGGAUAACUUCGGGAAACCGGAGCUAAUACCGGAUAAUAUAUUGAACCGCAUGGUUCAAUAGUGAAAGACGGUUUUGCUGUCACUUAUAGAUGGAUCCGCGCCGCAUUAGCUAGUUGGUAAGGUAACGGCUUACCAAGGCAACGAUGCGUAGCCGACCUGAGAGGGUGAUCGGCCACACUGGAACUGAGACACGGUCCAGACUCCUACGGGAGGCAGCAGUAGGGAAUCUUCCGCAAUGGGAGAAAGCCUGACGGAGCAACGCCGCGUGAGUGAUGAAGGUCUUCGGAUCGUAAAAAUCUGUUAUUAGGGAAGAACAAAUGUGUAAGUAACUAUGCACGUCUUGACGGUACCUAAUCAGAAAGCCACGGCUAACUACGUG
rnacentral:rRNA from 1 species